UGUAUGUUUUUGCAGCUGGCAUCAAGACAAGGAGCAGGCAUGGAGGCUGAUAGUGAGUGAAACAGGCAAAGCUCAAGGCAGUGGAGGCUCCUCCAACCAGGCUCCGGCAUUAGGGAGUUGAGCAUGCAGAGUGGCAAGGCCAAGGCAAGGAACUCACUACUGAGAAGACUGCAUGUCUACGUCCCGAAAGAUGUGGUAUGCAGUGCACUCCUCCCUCAUCAUGGCUCUACAGUAUUCCCUCUCCCAGUCAGAACAACCCAGGCGGCCUCUACUCCUCUUAUCAGAUGGAGUCAGGCAGGCAGGAUGGGACGGGGACAGUGUGGAUCCAGCUGCUCCCAGGAGCAGGGUGCAGGCCCACGUAAUAGGUCUGCUGGCAUCCCAGGCCUCGCCCCACUGGCAUCCCAGUCACAGCCAGGCAGGCUGCUCCAUGGGUGGCACACCUUGGAAACAGGCGGCAGAGACAGAGGAGGUGGACACGGGGGAGACAGGUGAAGGGAACCUUCAACGCCGGGUGACUCUAGAGUUCCCAGUUGUCUUGAAAGCACCAUAAAUCCAGAGAAUGCCAGACUUUGAUGACAACAUUUGCCCACAAAAGACCGCCGCGCCGCCUUCCUGUUCAAGUGAGCACAGCACAACAAGCUUGUCAGGCAAGACCUCAGAAUAAAAUGCGACACAUGUACACUUGUGACACCUCCUUCGUUGUUGCCAGUCUCCCUCGCCUCCUAUGAAAAGGACAUGCCAUCACGAGGCCUCUGACAGUGGCCCGAGUUACAGCCCAUAUGACGCAGACGGCUUCAUCAACGACAGGCCCUCCCAGUCCACAGCACCUUAUAAUAUUGCCUGCUGCAGUUGUUCGAGAGAUGUCCAGUUUGCAGCCGAACAUGCAGCAUAGAGAAGACCAGCAAGGGGGCCCUUAUCAGCAUCAUGCAGACAUGCCCUCACUGUGAGUAUUCCUAUGAAUGGAACAGUCAGCCACUUGUUGGCAAGUAUCAGCCCAGCAACCCUCACCUGUCGGUGGCAACAGCUUACACAGGCUCAUCAUUUGUACAAAUACAGAAGGUAACCCACUUUAUUACUUUGAUACAUUUGAUAGCCCAAUUGUGAAACCUAAUUUAUGUAAACAGACAUUACUUGUUGAUUAUUUUAUACUUCUUAGAUGCAUACAAUGUCCAGGGCAUAACCUAGCCUGGUGGAUCCAGUCUGAUCACUGUGUUCACCAUUCUAUUUCACUUCACAUUUUAUGAUAUCUGAAGUGAAAUAGAAAGGAGAAUGCAGCGAUCAGGUUGGGUCCACCAGGCUAAUCAUAACCAACAUUGAUCAUGUAAUCAGUGCUCUGUGUGUGUGUGUGUUUGUGUUUGACCGACCAGUAUCUUUGAUGAGGGGCUGAUCUAUGCUGCUAUGCCCGUCAAUGGGGCUCUGUCAAAGAAUCUCACCUCCAGCCUCACCACUUGCAUGUUCACCAACGGUCGUCGAAGGGGAGAAGAGAAUUAUAAACAUGUAUGGAGCCAGCACAUAGAGACUUGCAAAAUGAUGUGAUGAAGUUCAGACUCACGGACGAGCUUCUCUCAAAGGAGAUAUACCUGGAACUCAGCAUAACAUUUUUACUAGACAUAACUUUUACUUGGGUCUUUUUUAUUAUUUAAUUGAAUGGUAUCAUUCAAUACGGGCAGGGAGAAACCCUGUGUAUUCUGCACCAGGAUCAGGGAACUCCUGUUGUACACGGGACACCACACAGGAAGAUAUGACCACUCUGACAUGUUUGCCAAGGUAGCCUCACUACCACCAGACAAAAUGCCGAUAGGCACAGUAUCUGUAUCGGCUGGGAAUGACAAUGGUGCACAUUGUUAUAUGUGACUCGUUUCAGGAAAGUAGGCAUAUGUCGCGUGUCACUACUUCACAGGAGCGCUAUUUGAACGUAAACAAUGUUUUUAAAAUCAAAAUGCGUUUUGGGGGAAUAAAAUUGUUAAAUUACGAGCCUAGUUGGUUUAGCCAUGGAAAAAGACAGAAACUUUCCCGCUAGCCAUGAUUGACUGAGAUAAUGAGUGGUUUGGACAUGCCGAGAGAUGAGUUCGGAUUGGUCUACCAUGUAGCACGCUUCUGUCUAUAAUAUGAGCUGGUCAGUAUGUGUAGGUAAUCCUUUCCAACGUGGCUUUUUUGAAAGAUAUCACAUAGUAGAACUGCAUAAGUGUUGCUCUCCACUUUCUGGAGGACUGAGUUUUGAAAUCAGUGGAAUUAGAGUAUGAUAGCUAAGGAGAUGGAGAAAAUUCUGCCGUUUGAUUGGAAAUAUGCAGACGGAGUCGAAAAGAGAACACAGAAGGCUCCGGAUUACAUCUUCAAACUAAGAGCAACCAUGGCAUCCCUGACAGAGAAGGAGAAGCGUCCAUCCAUGUAUAUGGGUAAGAGAGUCUAGCUAGCUAAAUUUUCAGAUAUUACACAUUUCUAAUUUUGUCAGAAAGUAAUUUUCAUUUGAAGUUAAAGUGUACUGUUAGCUAGCUAGCUAACGUUAGCUGGCUGGCUAGCUAGCUAAUGUUACGGGUAUGAUCUUUGUGGUAAUUUUAUUCAUAUCUCAGAGCCAUUUGCAUUGCUAGUUAUAGCCUGAUGUUAGCUAGCUAACAAUGAACCUGGUUGGUUUGCUACCUGCAGAUUCAUGCAGGGUAGUAAUGUCAUGAGAUGGUAUUAUGGUUCAUUGUUUAGCUAGCUAGCUACAUGUCUUAACAAAAGACCACUAUGCAAGUAACUAUUUCAAUAGAAUGUUAAUGAUGUCACUGUGACAACUGUCGAUAGACGUAGCUAGUCAAUUCGCUCUGGCUAUCUACUCUGAUUUCAGAGCACUCUCGUCUGAGUGUGCCAGAGCGCAGAAUAACUGAUGAAUUUACGAAUGCUCAACACCCGUUGAACAUGGCCGGUGUCAGUAAAUGUUGGCAAAAAAUGAGUAAUUAAAUUGUUGCCAGCAGCACAGUUAAAGUUACCAACGCUCUGAAUAACAUGAAAACAGCCUAAUCAGCUCUGCUAGGGAGAGUAAAACGGUCAGAGUGAGGUGUUCUCUCAUUUGUGUCUGAAAGUAUCUAGCCAGUUAGCUUGGGUGCUUGACUGCCGUUGUGAGGUCAGAGCUCUCUGAUCAACCCUACUCCUCGGCCAGUGUCCAGUGUGCGAACAACAAUCUGACAAGGCUCUGAAUUUACGAACGCCCAGAGCGCACUCUGGCACUCCAGAUAAAAUGUAAGAACACACCCGUAGUAUAAACUAGCCUUUAGUCUUGAAAUCUUUGGUUGUUUAGUACAUGGCCUCACAUGUGAAUCCUCAAAGAGAUGGGUGGGGCUAAAGCUUAAGAGGGUGAGAAUGAUGCUGAAUGGGUGUAGACAAAGAAGAGCUCUCCAGUAGGUACCAAAACACUGAAGGGCCAUUUUCUCAAAAGUGAGGUUACAAGUUUAUAAACUUACAAAGCAGAAUUACUUUCCCAUUGUUCCUCAACUGUAGUGUAUUAUAUAAAAAUGUUUGUAGCUCUGAGUCUCUACUUUUAUCCAAUGUAAAAAACACAAUUUAAAAUUUUACUACAUAAGACCGAAUCGAGCCGGUCUGUCACAUAUUAGCAGAACACUGUUUAUUCUACAUGGACGUGUUACUACAAUUGAAAGUAAUCAAAACAGUUAUGAAUAUCUACAUACAUUCAGCAAUUGCAUUCUCUUAUUACUCUGUAGGCUGCUGACCUGUUCAAAGUUCAUUUGCUGUCAUUUGAUUGCUGUUUUGUUUCAUAUUGUGUUUGAUUGUUGUGUUGCUGUGAUCAGGGAACCCUUGUGAAUGAAACCCUAAAAUAAAUAAAUAUACACUUUUUUCUGGCAUCUCAC
rnacentral:lncRNA from 1 species